UCCAAGCCCUUUAAGUAAAAAUGCAGCAGGUAGCAGAGUUUCAUAAACUCAAUUACCACCUAGAGGAAAGAUUGUGCUGGCUUCACCUGAAAGACAUGCUUCUCUGCUAGGCCCCUAGUACCAUCAGAACCCUGAGAAAAUGUCGCGAUGUAAGUGCAGGCCCCCUUCCCUCAGUAGACGCAAAAGAAGGGGUUCUGGAGGCCAGAGGAAAGGGAGAAGGGCAAAGAAAGGGAGAAGAGUGUCUGUCGCUCACACUGUGUACUACUACAGGAAGGUAAAAUAGCCAUUGUGAGCUUCCCUUUCCCAUCGUGCAACAGUUUUGGGAAUGUUAGCCGGCACCAACAAGAUGACUUCUGCCACAGCUCCAGCAAAGUCAGAUGCACUGACAAGCCAAGAUGCUGAAGUCUUCCAGAAAGCAGCAAUGUGUCAUUAAACCUGAAGUCGCAAUGUC